CAGCGCGACCCCUAAGUGGUCUUAGCGGAAGGCCAGCUACAGAGCAGGUUCUCAACCAACGUGAAGGAUUCCAGGCUGCAACCCUUGGGCCAGCGGUAGUACUCCUUCCCCCUCGGCAUCCUCCAUCCCCUUGAAAAGGGCCAUCCAAGGGAGCCCGGGACAAAGGUCAGCAGGCAGACAUGUUUUACUGCAUGAAGCUGCUGGAGGAGACGGGAAUCUGCCUCGUGCCGGGAAGCGGCUUCGGGCAGAGGGAUGGAACGUACCAUUUCAGAAUGACCAUCUUGCCAUCGACAGACAAGCUGAAGAUCCUGCUCAACAAAGUCAAGGAGUUUCACCAGAAAUUCACAGAGCAGUAUUCUUAAAUGGCCACGUCCAUUUCUCUUUUUACUAGAGACGAAACCCACCCAACAAAACAAAAAGAACUCAGCCAAUCAGAAUAUAUCUGUCACUAUUAAGUGCCUUUCCUACGUCGGCUCUUGUGGUCUCUGUGAUGACACACUUCAGCCUCCACAGAUAUCUCAUCCGGUAUUUCACACACAGUAAACAAGCCACUGUUUUGUGUUUUGGGAAAAAACUGGAAAUGAAUUAAUUCAGAACGUGUGUAAAGUUUGGUAUGAAAAAUAUGGAUUCAACUUUGAAGGAUUUAUGAACUGAAGGUCUGUGUAUUUGUGCAUUUCAGUUAUAGUCUGUCAAUGUGAAUAAUAAGCUAAAAAUAAAUAGGUACAGAUGGAGGAAAAGGUGAAUGCCUUUUUAAACCAUUCAUGUGAACAACUGGCUAUAAUCUUACAUUCCUGCAGCACGUACUUGACAGGGAGAAUACGCAAAAUAAAUUGCUAUUUCAUGAUUCAGAGGUGAUUUUGUAGUUUUAAUAAAUGUAACAGCUGUUA